rnacentral:rRNA from 1 species
GACGAACGCUGGCGGCGUGCUUAACACAUGCAAGUCGAACGCUGAAGCACCAGCUUGCUGGUGUGGAUGAGUGGCGAACGGGUGAGUAAUACGUGAGUAACCUGCCCUUGACUCUGGGAUAAGCCCGGGAAACUGGGUCUAAUACUGGAUGCUACAUGUCACCGCAUGGUGGUGUGUGGAAAGGGUUUACUGGUCUUGGAUGGGCUCACGGCCUAUCAGCUUGUUGGUGAGGUAAUGGCUCACCAAGGCGACGACGGGUAGCCGGCCUGAGAGGGUGACCGGCCACAAUGGGACUGAGACACGGCCCAGACUCCUACGGGAGGCAGCAGUGGGGAAUAUUGCACAAUGGGCGAAAGCCUGAUGCAGCGACGCCGCGUGAGGGAUGACGGCCUUCGGGUUGUAAACCUCUUUCAGCAGGGAAGAAGCCACAAGUGACGGUACCUGCAGAAGAAGCGCCGGCUAACUACGUG